UUGCGGUUAAAACGCUCGUAGUUGGGUUUCUGUCGGGAACAGCCGGUCUGUCCUGAGUGACAAGCUACCGGAUUGCCACCUGACAUCUUCUUGGGGAACGGGUGCGCACUUCACUGUGUGACCCGGAAACCUUGACGUUUACUUUGAGGAAAUGAGAGUGCUUCAAGCGGGUGUUCGCCACGAAUACGUUAGCAUGGAAUAAUAGUGCUGGACCUCGGAUCACAGCUGUUGGUUGCUGGAAUUGGGGUGAGGAUAAACAGGGACAGUUGGGGGCAUUCGUAUUUAACUGUCAGAGGUGAAAUUCCUGGAUUUGUUAAAGACGGACUACUGCGAAAGCAUUUCGCCCAGGAUGUUUUCAUUGAUCAAGAACGAAAGUUAGGGGAUCGAAGACGAUCA
rnacentral:rRNA from 1 species